rnacentral:rRNA from 1 species
AUACGUAGGGAGCGAGCGUUGUCCGGAAUUACUGGGUGUAAAGGGUGCGUAGGCGGGACUGCAAGUCAGAUGUGAAAUGCCGGGGCUCAACCCCGGAGCUGCAUUUGAAACUGUGGUUCUUGAGUGAGGUAGAGGUAAGCGGAAUUCCUAGUGUAGCGGUGAAAUGCGUAGGUAUUAGGAGGUACAUCGGUGGCGAAGGCGGCUUACUGGGCCUUUACUGACGCUGAGGCACGAAAGCGUGGGGAGCAAACAGGAUUAGAUGCCCUGGUAGUCCACGCUGUAAACGAUGAUGACUAGGUGUGGGGGGACUGAACCCUUCCGUGCCGCAGUUAACACAAUAAGUCAUCCACCUGGGGAGUACGGCCGCAAGGUUGAAACUCAAAUGAAUUGGCGGGG